GUGAGGAAUUUUGCGCAAUGGGGGAAACCCUGACGCAGCGACGCCGCGUGGGUGAAGAAGGUUUUCGGAUCGUAAAGCCCUGUCAGGUGGGAAGAAGUGCAUGCCGGUUAAUACCCGGUGUGUUUGACGGUACCACCGAAGGAAGCACCGGCUAACUCCGUGCCAGCAGCCGCGGUAAUACGGAGGGUGCAAGCGUUGUUCGGAAUCACUGGGCGUAAAGGGCGCGUAGGCGGCUAUGCAAGUCAUAUGUGAAAGCCCACGGCUUAACCGUGGAAGUGCAUGUGAAACUGCAUGGCUUGAGUAUCGGAGGGGAAAGUGGAAUUCCCGGUGUAGAGGUGAAAUUCGUAGAGAUCGGGAGGAAUACCGGUGGCGAAGGCGACUUUCUGGACGAAUACUGACGCUGAGGCGCGAAAGCGUGGGGAGCAAACAGGAUUAGAUACCCCAGUAGUCC
rnacentral:rRNA from 1 species